GAGCUGGGAUAGAUGGGAUCCAGGUUACCCGUGGUGGGCAUCUCCAGGGUCUGAGAGGGGCGAACUUUCGACCCCCUGUACUUUCCAUUGCCCAGGCAGCAUCUGCAGCUGCCCCAAGUAUGGGUCCAAGGAAGUGGCUCUCAGCUGGGAUAGUGUCAAGAAGAAGGAGGUGGAGAAAAAAGAGAAGGAGGAGAAGGAAAAAAAGUAGAAGGAGAAGGAAGAGAAGGAGCAAGAAGAAAAGGAAGAGGAGGAGGAGAAGAGGGAAAGAGAAAACUGUCUAUAAAUGACCUUCACUGGAGACCCAGGAAGUGCUCUCCUCAACAUUCCUCAGGCAUACCUUGGAUCGAAUAAUCCAUUCUUGAAAACCGUUCUUAAGAAAACAAUAUGGGACCAACAAUAAGUAAAUGGGACCUCAUGAGACUGAAAAGCUUCUGUAAAGCAAAGGACACCGUCAUCAAAACAAAGCGACUGCUUACAGAUUGGGAAAGAAUCUUUACCAACCCUUUAUCUGACAGAGGACUCAUAUCCAGUAUAUAUAAAGAACUAGAGAAGCUGAAAAGCAGCAAACCAAGUAAUCCACUUAAAAAAUGGGGAACAGAGCUAAACAGAGAACUCUCUGUAGAGAAAUAUAGAAUGGCAGAGAAGCAUUUAAAGAAAUGCUCAACCUCAUUAGCCAUCUGGGAAAUGCAAAUCAAAACAACCCUGAGAUUUCAUCUUACACCCAUCAGAAUGGCCAAGAUGAAAAACUCAAGUGACAACACAUGCUGGAGAGGUUGUGAAGAAAGGGGAACCCUUCUCCACUGCUGGUGGGAAUGUAAACUUGUACAACCACUCUGGAAAUCAAUCUGGCGCUUUCUCAGACAACUAGGAAUAGCGCUUCCUCAAG